GGGAUUUAUUACUUCGACAAACCCGUGCACUUGCGGGAUAUACGCAAGGGGCGUUGUCACAGCAGUCACAGUCAAACUAUGCAGUUUCAUGUGACCUUUAGAUAAGCCUUUUGAUCUUUUUCCUUGCCCAUGAGUUGGAAUGGUGCUUUCUAUUAGUUGUUUUUUUUUCACUCCCAUGGCCUAAAUGGCAUCUAUUUGAGCCAGGAAUCUCUUGAGGCUCUAUAUGCAUCAUCACAUUAAUGAUGCACACUGUGAGCUUCAAUUCAAUUUACUUUUAGGAUUUCAUGGGUACCAGUAAGCAGGCUUUUUUUGGCCCAUACACAUUUAUUUUAUUGGAUCAGCAGUGAAGAAAAUAUCAGAUUUGAGAAGAUUAUGUGUUGAAAAGGGAGUGAACCCAUGGAUUGAAGUCGAUGGUGGAGUGACGCCAUCAAAUGCCUAUAAGUGCAGUUAAAAAUGAUUAGGUAUCAACCUCUCAAAAUCUCAGUCGGAAUUUCUAUGAAUGGCAAGUCACUGAGGCUGGCGCCAAUGCUCUAGUUGUUGGUUCUGUAGUCUUUGGAGCCAAAGAUUAUUUAGAAGGCAUAGACUUUUUUAUCAAAUUUAUUGUUUUGUUGUGCCUUUCAGAGGAGCCAUUUCUACAAAUAUAUAUAAUAAAAUGUACUUAUUAUUUUUCGAUUGUAUUGUCUCCUUGC